rnacentral:lncRNA from 1 species
AUGACUGCGUUUGCUCUAAUGGGUUAUGGCUUCUCAGAUAGUUCCCACGAAGGGGAGCCCACCCACGGCGUCAGAGGCCCUGGUCGCGGUGCCAUUGACUGCAGGGACGAGGCAGAGAGAUGCCGCGGAAGAUGGUGGAUAGCUGUGAAGUUUCGGACCACCCAGCCCUUCCCAAUUUCCAGCUUCUCUCCGCCAAUCAAAAGUGCUGUGUUUGAAUGUCUUUCGUGCUUCCCGAUGUGCAAAAACUCAGUUACACCAUAGGAUGGGAAGACUUGCUUCCUAGCCUCAGACAACAUGGAAACGUAGAUUGGAAUGUAAGGUGAGAUGGAAAAGGAGCACUGUACACCAAUUGUCCUAGGUUCUUGGAAAGCUUAGACCACAUCUGGAGCCUCCAGUCCUCUACCUCCAUCGUAGAAGGUAGCAGAUGCAUCCUAGAAGAAGCCUGGACAGAACAGAGGCCAACUCAUUUCUAAGAUGCAGGUUAUUCUUGAAAUCCAAGAGCUGCAAAACAAAGAUGGGGUAUACACUGUAAAUUAGGGGGGCGCCUAUGUGAUGACUCACAGUCCCAGAAGAGGUCUGAGUUUGCAAAUCUCUGAGGAGAUGUUCCCAAAGUCUUGACAGAUCUAUGUUAAAGCAGAAACAAGGACAUCAUAUUCUCCAAUAUCACUGUGAUUCAAAUAUGAAUAGUGACCUGAAUGCCAGAAAUGUUAGCCAAGAAAUGGGAAAAGGAAUGAGCAGACCAGAGAUUUGGGUCUG